UCCUACGGGAGGCAGCAGUGGGGAAUUUUGCGCAAUGGGGGAAACCCUGACGCAGCAACGCCGCGUGAGUGAUGAAGGCUUUCGGGUCGUAAAGCUCUGUCAGAAGGGAAGAAAUGGGGCUGGCUAAUAUCCAGUUUCCUUGACGGUACCUUCAAAG
rnacentral:rRNA from 1 species